CACGUAGGGUGCAAGCGUUGUCCGGAAUCAUUGGGCGUAAAGAGCUCGUAGGCGGCUUAGUAAGUCGGGUGUGAAAACCCCAGGCUCAACCUGGGGACGCCACCCGAUACUGCUAUAGCUAGAGUCCAGUAGGGGAGUGUGGAAUUCCCAGUGUAGCGGUGAAAUGCGCAGAUAUUGGGAGGAACACCAGUGGCGAAGGCGAGUCUCUGGGAUGAUGCUGACGCUGAGGCGCGAAAGCCAGGGGAGCAAACGGG
rnacentral:rRNA from 1 species